CAGCGAUGGCCGUGUAGUGGACUGCCAUGGCGUUGACGGGAGCGGGGGAUUAGGGUUCGAUUCCGGAGAGGGAGCCUGAGAAAUAGCUACCACUUCUACGGAGGGCAGCAGGCGCGCAAAUUGCCCAAUGUCAAAAAAAAACGAUGAGGCAGCGAAAAGAAAUAGAGCCGAGAGCGCCUUUGGCGUUGUCGUUUUCAAUGGGGGAUAUUUAAACCCAUCCAAAAUCGAGUAACAAUUGGAGGACAAGUCUGGUGCCAGCACCCGCGGUAAUUCCAGCUCCAAAAGCGUAUAUUAAUGCUGU
rnacentral:rRNA from 1 species